UACGAAGGGGGCUAGCGUUGCUCGGAAUCACUGGGCGUAAAGCGCACGUAGGCGGAUUGUUAAGUCAGGGGUGAAAUCCUGGAGCUCAACUCCAGAACUGCCUUUGAUACUGGCGAUCUUGAGUCCGGGAGAGGUGAGUGGAACUGCGAGUGUAGAGGUGAAAUUCGUAGAUAUUCGCAAGAACACCAGUGGCGAAGGCGGCUCACUGGCCCGGUACUGACGCUGAGGUGCGAAAGCGUGGGGAGCAAACAGGAUUAGAACCUCAGAGUA
rnacentral:rRNA from 1 species